rnacentral:rRNA from 1 species
ACGUAGGGUGCGAGCGUUAAUCGGAAUUACUGGGCGUAAAGGGUGCGCAGGCGGUUUUGCAAGUCAGAUGUGAAAUCCCUGGGCUUAACCCAGGAAGUGCGUUUGAAACUACAAGGCUUGAGUAUGUGAGAGGGAGGUAGAAUUCCACGUGUAGCAGUGAAAUGCGUAGAUAUGAGGAGGAACACCGAUGGCGAAGGCAGCCCCCUGGCAUAACACUGACGCUGAUGCACGAGAGCGUGGGGAGCAAACAG